GCGUCAGACUGGAACGCGCCUGACGGUGAGGGACGAAAGCCAGGGGAGCGAACCGGAUUAGAUACCCGGGUAGUCCUGGCCGUAUACGAUGCAUACUAGGCAAUGGUGCGGCCAUGAGCCGCAUCAGUACCGUAGGGAAACCGUUAAGUGUGCCGCCUGGGAAGUACGGUCGCAAGGCUAAAACUUAAAGGAAUUGGCGGGGGAGCACCACAAGGGGUGAAGCCUGCGGUUCAAUUGGACUCAACGCCGGGAAACUUACCAGGGGAGACAGCAGAAUGACAGUCAGGUUGACGACCUUACUCGACGAGCUGAGAGGAGGUGCAUGGCCGUCGCCAGUUCGUGCUGUGAGGUAUCCUGUUAAGUCAGGCAACGAACGAGAUCCGCGCCUUUAUUUGCCAUCAAGAAGUCACGACUUUGUUGGGCACAAUAAAGGGACCGCCGUCGAUAAGACGGAGGAAGGAGCGGGCAAAGGCAGGUCAGUAUGCCCCCGAAACCCCUGGGCUACACGCGGGCUGCAAUGGUGCGAACAAUGGGCUGUAACUCCGAAAGGAGAAACCAAUCCCUGAAAUCGCAUCUCAGUGGGGAUUGUCGACUGUAACUCGUUGACAUGAACGUGGAAUCCCUAGUAAUCGCGU
rnacentral:rRNA from 1 species